rnacentral:rRNA from 1 species
UAGGGAAUCUUCCGCAAUGGGCGAAAGCCUGACGGAGCAACGCCGCGUGAGUGAUGAAGGUCUUCGGAUCGUAAAACUCUGUUAUUAGGGAAGAACAAAUGUGUAAGUAACUAUGCACGUCUUGACGGUACCUAAUCAGAAAGCCACGGCUAACUACGUGCCAGCAGCCGCGGUAAUACGUAGGUGGCAAGCGUUAUCCGGAAUUAUUGGGCGUAAAGCGCGCGUAGGCGGUUUUUUAAGUCUGAUGUGAAAGCCCACGGCUCAACCGUGGAGGGUCAUUGGAAACUGGAAAACUUGAGUGCAGAAGAGGAAAGGGGAAUUCCAUGUGUAGCGGUGAACUGCGCAGAGAUAUGGAGGAACACCAGUGGCGAAGGCGACUUUCUGGUCUGUAACUGACGCUGAUGUGCGAAAGCGUGGGGAUCAAACAGG